rnacentral:rRNA from 1 species
UACGGAGGGUGCAAGCGUUAUCCGGAUUCAUUGGGUUUAAAGGGAGCGUAGGCGGGUAUGUAAGUCAGUGGUGAAAUCUCAUAGCUUAACUAUGAAACUGCCAUUGAUACUGCGUACCUAGAGUACAGUUGCCGUUGGCGGAAUAUGACAUGUAGUGGUGAAAUACUUAGAUAUGUCAUAGAACACCGAUUGCGAAGGCAGCUAACGAAGCUGUAACUGACGCUGAGGCUCGAAAGUGCGGGGAUCAAACAGG